AUAAUUCCGAGUUAACCGAAUGGCUUCGCCGCCGCCGCAGCAAUAAAUACAGUUGAACUGAAUUAAAAGGAGAAGAAAAACAUCCAACUGAGAAACCCAGACACCGCUGGACAAGAGAAACAUCUAAAGAAAAAUGAUAGAUGAUCAAGAAAAGAUAUCCCGGGAGCAAAAACGACCAGACACCAGUGAAGACAAGACCAGCAGCCCAAGUGACCCAGCCUCGGACUGCCUUAGUUGCUGUUUCCUCAAAAAUCUACAUGCACAGCUAAUUCAAAAUGGGCCAGCAAAGAUCGUCCAGCCUCACCUCACAGUGUUUCAACCAGAACUUCAGUUAAGCCCUGCACUUUCCCAUCCUACAGAAACUAGCUGUCUAAGUUAGGGUUUCCAUUGCUGUGAAGAGGCAUCAUGACCAAGGCAAGUCUAAUAAGGACAACAUUCAAUUGGGGCUGGCUUACAGAUUCAGGGGUUCAGUCCAUUAUCAUCAAGGCAGGAGGCAUGGCAGUGUCCAGGCAGGCACGGUGCUGGAGGAGCUGAGAGUUCUACAUCUUGUUCUGAAGGCAAACAGAAGACUGGCUUCCAUGCAGCUAGGAGAAAGGUCUCAAAGCCCACCCCCCCCACCGUGACGCACUUCCUCCAAAAGGCCACACCCACUCCAACAAGGCCAUAUCUAAUAGUGCCCCUGCCUGGACCAAGCAUAUUGAAGCCACCGCACUAGAUAACAAACGAUACAGUUAGCUCUCUCAGGACUUAUACAAUAUCCCAGUUUUCUUAGGGUCCCCAAAGGAUGCUGUUGCUUCCAACCCCAGGAAGUGAUUUUAAGAACGUGACACCCUCGUUCCCAAGAAGUGGGGUGGGUGUUUUUCUGUCAUUUGGUGGGUUAUGGAUGUCUGUUAUCACUUGGAGAGGUUGGUUACAAGUUGAUUUUGGUCGUGGUCAAGGAGGAAACAAAGGAAAGGAGGUUAGAUUCAGGGAUGGUUUUCUUUCUCUUUCUCCCCUUUUCCUUCUUGUAUCUGACGUUAGAGAAUGAAAAGGGGGAGAGAGGUCAUAGGGAUGUAAGGGAGCGAGUGCAUCUCCUGAAUUGAUUUGUGCUCGACCUGAUGUGUGACUUAAUUAUUUGCUAAACAGUGUGUGCUAGGUAUACUCUAUUCAUGGGAUUCAGCCCUCAGGCAUGCCAAGGACUGGUUCUACCACUGAGCCACACUGUAGCCCCCUCACCCCUUUUAAUGACUGUUUAUAUUCCAUUUCCCAGAUGUGCCAUGGUUUACUGAUGAAGUUCUACCUACCAAACCAGACCCUUUCCCGUGUCCUAUCACACUGAUGCCAUCUUUGUACACACGCACAUUUCUCAUUUUAUUAAAGAUUUAUUUAUUGUGUG